UCAUAAUCAUUAGUCUCUAACUCUGUGAAAUCAACUGACACUAGAUCUGACUCAUCUAUAGAAAUUUCAGGAGGCAAGAAAGAAAGGAGAAAUGCUUGACGCUUGGUUGCCAUUGCAA